CUGGAAGGACCACACAGAGCUUUUAAAGGAACAGGGGGAGGCUCAGAGCUCUGUCUGCAGUCCUUGUCUCCCCAAAGGCUGCUCUUGUUUCGCUGCCUCAGACCAAGUGGCUUCUGUGCUUGUUGUCACCCUCAAAACCAGCAAAUAAUCUUCCAAGGAUUUGCUAAAUCUGGAGUGGGAACACAGAGAAAAGGGAGUCCACUCCUGCCAGUUUGGAGCCUACCAGGAUGCCUUUGGCAAAGGAGCAAGAGGUGCAGCCAGGAAAAGCUCCUGGCUCCCUGCAGUGCCAAGCUGAAACGUUUUCAAGCUUGAUCUUCUUCAAUUGAUUUGUUUUGUUAAGCCAAGUGAUGGGAUUGUAAGAAAGAAAAAUUCCUAAUGAGAGUGAGGAAAAUGGAACACACUGAAAAUUCUGGAAUGAAAAGAAGAAAGUUGAUCGAUGACCCCCAGAGAAAUACUUGGCUUAGAAACUUACUGAAAUGUCACUGAAUAAAUCUUUAUGUUUGUUAUUA